AUUGAACGCUGGCGGCAGGCCUAACACAUGCAAGUCGAGCGAGCGGCGGACGGGCGAGUAAGUUAUGGGGACUGCCCGAUCGAGGGGGAUAACUACUGGAAACGGUGGCUAAUACCGCAUCCUGUCGGAUAACCAAAAUGGGAUUAGCUAGUAGGUAAGGUAAUGGCUCACCUAGGCGACAAUCCCUAGCUGGUCUGAGAGGAUGAUCAGCCACACCGGGACGGAGACAAGGCACAGACUCCAAGGGAGGAGGAGGAGGGGAAUAUGGCACUGUUGGAGCAAGGCUGACGCAGCCCUGCCGAGUGUAUGAAAGAGGGCCUGGGGUUGUAAAGUACUUUCAGUCGGGAGGCGGUACCGAAAGAAGAAGCACCGGCUAACUCCGUGCCAGCCGCCGCGGUAAUAC
rnacentral:rRNA from 1 species